rnacentral:rRNA from 1 species
UACGGGAGGCAGCAGUGGGGAAUAUUGCACAAUGGAGGAAACUCUGAUGCAGCGACGCCGCGUGAGUGACGAAGUGUUUCGGCAUGUAAAGCUCUAUCAGCAGGGAAGAAAAUGACGGUACCUUUCAAGAAAGCCACGGCUAACUACGUGCCAUGCAGCCGCGGUAAU